AUUCAGUGAAUCAUCGAAUCUUUGAACGCAUCUUGUGCUCCUUGGUAUUCCGAGGAGCAUGCCUGUUUGAGUGUCAUUA
rnacentral:rRNA from 1 species